AGUCCACAAUCAAAGAAAAGAAAACGCGGUUAUAUAAACACAUUCUCGUGCAUGAAAGUCAGCCUAAUCCAUAAACUUAUCACUGAAAAGGAAAGCUCUUGAAAUGAUGAUCUGCCAUCUGACUUGAUCAUUCCUUUGGUCUUAAUAUUCUGGUUUACGAGGGAAAAAGGCUUUUAAAAACCUUCUUCAGUGGAUGCCCACAAGAUGAGCAAGAUGAGCAAAAAGUUGCUAGAAUAUGCAACAACAAAACUUGCCCAUUUCACUGCUCUCAGAACACGUCAACUUUCAUCGCAUUCACUAAUAAUCAUGAAUUCCAGUUUAAUAUCAAUAAAGAAAAUUUAAUGUAAUUAAAAAUAUCUAGUAUAAAUGUGGAUUUGGCAGAAAUUAGUGCAAAUAUUAUACAGCUUUUAGAAUAUUAUGCAAUUAUUAGAAUAUUACGAUCACAGUUUCUGCUGAAAA